UCGGCCUUCCGUAGCUGCGCCGCCUCGGAGCAGCUGUCAGAGGAGCUGCUGUCAAAGCAGUGCUAGCUCAGCCGGCUAGCUUGCACCUUUGAGAGGGUAAAAACCAAACAUGGCGGGUGUGCACCCCCAGGACGACCUGCUGAAAAUGACACACAGAGAGAACUGGAAGGUGCAGCAUGAGCGCCUGCACGUGAAGCACAGGGGUCACGAGGCCAUGCACGCAGAGAUGGUGCUGAUCCUCAUCGCCACGCUGGUGGUGGCUCAGAUCGUCCUGGUGCAGUGGAAGCAGCGGCACCACCGCUCCUACAAUCUGGUGACGCUGGUCCAGAUGUGGGUGGUUCCUCUUUACUUCACCAUCAAACUCUACUGGUGGAGGUUUCUGUCCAUGUGGGGCAUGUUCUCCGUCGUCACCAGCUACGUCAUCUUCAGAGCCACUCGCAAGCCGCUGUCCUGCAGGACGCCCAGGAUGGUGUACAAGUGGUUCCUGCUCAUCUACAAGCUGAGCUAUGCAGUGGGCGUCCUUGGCUACAUGGCCAUCAUGUUCACCAUGUUCGGCUUCAACGUCUUCUUCAGGAUCAAGGCAGAGGACUCCAUGGACGUAGGUGUGAUCAUGCUGUUUUACGGGCUUUACUACGGCGUCAUGGGACGAGACUUUGCUGAAAUCUGCUCCGACUACAUGGCUUCUACAAUCGGGUACUACAACAAAGGAGGCAUGCCCAGCAGGAGUCUGACCAACGACAUCUGCGCGGUGUGCGGACAGAGGAUCCUGGUGGACGUGGAGGAGGAAGGGUUCAUAGAAGACACCUACCAGCUCUCCUGUGGACACAUAUUCCACGAGUUCUGCAUCCGUGGCUGGUGCAUUGUGGGAAAGAAGCAGACGUGUCCGUACUGCAACGAGAAGGUUGACCUGAAGAGGAUGAUGAACAACCCCUGGGAGAAGACACAUGUCCUGUACGGGCAGCUGCUUGAUUGGCUCAGGUACCUUGUUGCCUGGCAACCCAUCAUCAUCGGUAUCGUCCACGGGAUAAAUUUCUCCCUGGGCCUGGAAUAGAGCCCUGAGGAACACCGCCGUAAGUACGUUCUGGAGUCAAGAAAAAAGUGCUGUAUAAACGUCAGCGCUGUGAGGACCUGACUCAGGCUGCUUCUGAAGUCUUUAGUUUCCUCAGCACAUGUUGUUUGACUGAACGCUUGCACAGUUUCCAGCAGACUGACCCAGGUGGUCUGGGUGUCUGCGUGCAGAGGACACAGCGAUGCCAAAAACUGCUGCCGACUUGAACAGAAAUAUUUAAGCACAGAUACAGUGUUCGAUCAUAUCAGAACGUUUUGACACAAGGAAGAUGGAAACGUCGCUGUCAUGCAUGUUGUUUUUAUUGUAUUAAGUCAUUGCUUUUCUUUGUACUGUAUCAUCAGAAUGCCUUUUUAAACCGUUUGUAGUUUGUUUGCACACUGCUGGCUCUGCUGACACCACUAACUAACACAACCGUGAUCUGCACAUCAAAUUACAAAAUGGACGGUUCUGUCCAGAAAGUUGUUGUACACAUGACCUGUUUACAUUUCAUGUUGCUGUGUUUAUUACAGAAGUUUUAUUUGAAAUGUCUGUACUGUGAAGUCCAGUUCAGACCAAAGAUUCAUGACGAGACGAGUUGAAACAAACACCUACUGUCAACGCUCCAUUCUGUAACGUAGUAAAAACCUGCCGGCUUGAGUCGAGCUCAGACCACGAUGAGACGGUGUAUCAUCUCUAGUCAACAACUCUCUGUGCUUCUGAUCUGUAACGCUGACAGGAAGUGACCGCCAUGAGACGGCGUAUCAUCUCUAGUCUGUACUGUAAAACAGUUUUGUUUCGUCAUGAAUCUUUGGUCUGAACUGGACUUUAAGAUUUUAUUUGUAUGAAGCUGAGAUUGAUGACAACUUGUUGUAGCAGGUGGAGUCAGAAUGUCACUGUAGACUGAAUCACCAUGACGUCACGCGAACAACAACAAUCACUUCCGGGGAGACAACUGGCAGUUAAUGACAGAUAUGUGAAAUCAGCAAACUUGCUUGUUUCUGUUGUCAUUUUCAGCCAUAACUGCAACAUUUAAAGAUUUAUAGUUAAACACGGUGGUGCGUCCUCUCUGACCUUUCUGCUGCGAUUAUUUUACGUGCUGGAUUUUGCUAACAUCACUCAGAAACCAAAUAUACCGGCACAGAAGCUUAGCAGUGUACUGCUGUGGACGAGGGCUGCAGGAAAACGCAUUUUGCCAACCUAAAAAAUAUCUAUCAGCACAAGGAUACGCUGUAUUUGGAAUAUAUUGACUCCUCUACGAUAGGUGGAGAUAUGCCCCCUUUCAGCUUGUUAGUAUUGGACCUUUUUCCUGUUGACCUAUUACGUCACAGACCAAACAAUGGACAAACAAGUUAGCUACGGUUAGCUAGCAGCUAACUGCUACCAUGGUGGACAACUUUACAGCUCUGUACAUUUGGUCCGUCCAAACAGUCACGGCUCUGGAUGUAGAUUUCUCCAUGUUGUUACCGGCUUCUUCUUCUCUUACACAUUUAAUGCUAUUGGACUUCCGGGUCAAAGCCCGGGGCGGAAACUGUGGAGCAUGCUCAGAGCGCCUCGGCCAGUUUGGGUCUGAUUGACUGUAUACAUGGCUUCAGUUCAUUUCAUGUACGAGACGCAGGCGUUUUCUUCCCGGAAGUUAUUGUCAACAAGUACUGUGACUCUGUCUAAUAUGUUGCUGAGCAAGACAUACCAGUGCAGCUGAUCCUCCAUGAUGUAAACCAGUGUAGGAGAGAGUAAACUAUACCUUUUAAGCACAGGCGUAGGUUUCAGGGGGACGCAGGGGACACGACCUCCUCAGUAUUUACAAUGUGCAUUAGUCCCCCAAUAACAACAUGAUGGUAGAGAGGACUUUUACUUUGGCCAAAAAAAUAAUGACAUGUAUGCUGUAAAUUGUUGCAUAAAAAAUCAGAAUGCAGAUAAAGUGUUUUCUGGCGGGGAGCUUCCAACCUCCCAUUUCGUCUGUGUCCCCUCAAAUUUUGAAACCUACGCCCUUGCCUUCAAGGACCACGUUACAAAGAUCAGACAGAAAUAGGUGAAGUGUUAAUUUUGUUGUCGUUCUCUCAACAUGGCGGCGUGCGCCCUGUAACUAUGGUAACCACCGUUCAGAUAUUCAGUCACUGAGGUGUGAAUGGGUUUCUAUCAAAUCCAGGAAGUUGUCGAUCUGUCGGGAGGAAAGCUUUCUGUUGCCAAAUCAAACUGACGUUGCUUUCUUGUCAACACUGCUGCUGAUAUUAACUUUGUAUUUAUUAAAUAUUUAUAAAACCAAGUUUAAGUUUCAGAUAAUCUGUGUUCACUGAUGACAAAUGGUGAGGUCACAGUUACAGAGAGGUUCGCUG